rnacentral:rRNA from 1 species
GAAUUCGCCCUUAGAGUUUGAUUCUGGCUCAGGACGAACGCUGGCGGCGCGCCUAACACAUGCAAGUCGAACGAGCGAGAGAGAGCUUGCUUUCCCGAGCGAGUGGCGAACGGGUGAGUAACGCGUGAGGAACCUGCCUCAAAGAGGGGGACAACAGUUGGAAACGACUGCUAAUACCGCAUAAGCCCACGACCCGGCAUCGGGUAGAGGGAAAAGGAGCAAUCCGCUUUGAGAUGGCCUCGCGUCCGAUUAGCUAGUUGGUGAGGUAAUGGCCCACCAAGGCGACGAUCGGUAGCCGGACUGAGAGGUUGAACGGCCACAUUGGGACUGAGACACGGCCCAGACUCCUACGGGAGGCAGCAGUGGGGAAUAUUGCACAAUGGGGGAAACCCUGAUGCAGCGACGCCGCGUGGAGGAAGAAGGUCUUCGGAUUGUAAACUCCUGUUGUUGAGGAAGAUAAUGACGGUACUCAACAAGGAAGUGACGGCUAACUACGUGCCAGCAGCCGCGGUAAAACGUAGGUCACAAGCGUUGUCCGGAAUUACUGGGUGUAAAGGGAGCGCAGGCGGGAAGACAAGUUGGAAGUGAAAUUCAUGGGCUCAACCCAUGAACUGCUUUCAAAACUGUUUUUCUUGAGUAGUGCAGAGGUAGGCGGAAUUCCCGGUGUAGCGGUGGAAUGCGUAGAUAUCGGGAGGAACACCAGUGGCGAAGGCGGCCUACUGGGCACCAACUGACGCUGAGGCUCGAAAGUGUGGGUAGCAAACAGGAUUAGAUACCCUGGUAGUCCACACUGUAAACGAU